CCGGAGGGCUGCAAGGGCCGGGGCCGAGGGGCGGAGCCGGAGAGAAGAGGAUGCUGGGAUAGCCGAGGGCUGCCUUGUUCGGCCUGGCCCAGAGGCUGGAUGUCAGCAGAGUCCCAGAGAGACCUGGGCUCCCCGUCAGGUGGGGGGGGGGGGCUCUUGCUCAGCAAUGGGGCGACGCCUUCAGGGAUCCGAUCCUCCAACGCUCCGAAAAGCCACCAGCCGGGAACAAUCAGUACCUCCAAUUACUGUCCAGCCUGCAGAGUCGGGCUGAAGUUUAUUUAUGUGUUUGUGUCCUAUCAAUCACGAUGCAAACUCGGAACCUCACACAGUGUCCCCCUGUGCCACCCAGCUCGGGGAUGGCCGUGCCAUUGUUUCCUGAGACCAGCUGCCCCGAGCCAGCGUGCCCCCCCACUCUCCAGGCACCCUGCUGCACACCGUCCCCUCCACCGCCCCCAGCCUGUCUGUCUGGAAUGGCUCCGUGCCCCCUGCCUAUGGGCUCCUCCUGGGCUUCUGCCUCUGCCAUCUUUCUCCCUGGAUCCUCCCUGGCUACUGCCCUGGGCUCCCCGUCCCUGAGAAGGUCGUCCAAAGUGGGGCCUCCAUUUCCUCUCCUUCUAAACCCUGCUCAGCCUGGAUUCUGAGCUCAGCAACGGCCUGGAACUAUUCCCAAAGCCAUCCAUGGACUCUCCCUCUCUGUCUCUGUCUGUCUGUCUGUCUCCCUCCCUCCCUCUCUGUCUCUCUCUGUCUGUUUGUCUCUCUCCCUCCCUCCCAAUCUCCCUCUCUCUCUGUCUCUCCUCUCUCUCUGUCUCUCUCUGUCUCUCUCUCUCUCCCUCUCUCUCUGUCUCUCUCCAUCCUUCUCUAUCUGUCUCUCUCUCUCUCCCCCUCUCUCUCUGUCUCUCUUUAUCCUUCUCUCUCCUCUCUCUCUCUCUCUCUCUCCCCCUCUCUCUCUCUCUCUCUCUCUGUCUCUCUCUCUGUCUCUGUCUCUCUCCCUCCCUCUCUCUGUCUCUCUAUCUCUGUCUCUGUCUCUCUCUCAAAAUGCAUCGAUUUGUUACAAAUCUGCGGGUAGCUCCCUCCCUCCCUCCCUCCCUCCCGUCUCCCCAUGGAGAAGGCACCAUGUGACAAAAAGACAGCGAUGCAGACAAACUGUGUUUUCUCCCUUCUUUCUCUGAGGUGGACGUUCACAAGUCAUUCUUCAGACGGUAUCUUUAAGCUCUUCCUUCCAUCGUAGAAUCCAUCCUGGGGCCUGGUUCCAAGGCAGAAGAGCAGCAAGGGCCAAGCAGUGGGAGUGAGGACUUGGCCAGGGUCACCCAGCUGGGGAGCAUCUCUGGCCAGAUUUGAAUCCAGGCCCUCCCGUCUCUAGGCCGGGCUCUCCGGUCACUGGGCUAUGCCGCGGCUCCUUCAAUCGGUGUUUCUGAGGCGGUCUGUGACGUGCUCUUGGUUCUGCUCGUCUCAGCCUGCAUGGCGUGUGGAUCUUCCCGUGGUUGUUCCAAGGAUAAGCUGCUCCCGGGCCUUCUAGGCCAAAGCGUGCUCUCCAUGGCCACGUGCAGGGCCUUCCCCAGGCCUCGCUCCCCUCGUC
ensembl:lncRNA